rnacentral:rRNA from 1 species
UACGUAGGAGGCGAGCGUUGUCCGGAAUCACUGGGCGUAAAGCGCGUGUAGGCGGGAGGAGUAGUCUGCUGUGAAAGCGCCUGGCUUAACCGGGCGAGGUCGGCGGAAACUCUCUUCCUAGAGGCCGGUAGAGGGGGGUGGAAUUCCCGGUGUAGUGGUGAAAUGCGUAGAGAUCGGGAGGAACACCCGUGGCGCAGGCGGCCCCCUGGGCCGCGCCUGACGCUGAGACGCGAAAGCGUGGGGAGCGAACGGG